ACGUAUAGGUGAAGAUGAUAAAUAAGAAAGCCUCGUAAAUUAAAAAAAAAAAAACCCACAAAAGGGAAAGCUUCUUGCCAUCGUUGACGCUUGUUGCGCCUACCCCUCCUCGAUUCCUUCAUGUUUUUCUUGCAGAUCUCUUCUUCAUGGCUUCUCUGCCAUGCCUUUCGUUCUCAAAUACGGCUAGAUCGCUUCGAGAGCUACGCAUCGGCAGCUUCAAGAGGUUGAACCGAUUGACUCUGCAAAAUAUUUGGUUUGACUAUCCCUAGCUUGGGAAUCUUCAUUACGAGAGAUUUGAUUCAAGAUCUCUCGAGUAAUCGCUUCACUUUUGAAUCUUUGAUGGAUGUGAUUCAUUUUUUUCUUAGGUUUGUUCCUCGUUAGAUCAUUGUAAGUUAUCCUCGCUGGAAUGUUUCCCUCUCUACUCGGUCUUAUUUGACUUUGAAAAUUGUAAAAUUCAAGAGGAGACGGGAAGUACUUUUGUUUUGUCUCAGAUCGUUGUAGGGACGUCUAUAAUUUUGGACAGAGAUGGUGUUCAGUUCAUGCAGCUUUUGGAUCCGAAGGCAAUUUACACCUUCGCUAUCACGGAGUUAGACGAUUUCACAGCAAGGGUUCCUGGUUGCUGGCCCCCCGUAGGUUCAUGAUACGUGUGAGCACAAUAAUGAAGAUGUUGCUAUGAAAAUCAUUUGUUGCCGCCGUUAUAUGUAACUCGAUGAUGUAAAUGGAUGUAUAAGACUUAGUCGGGACGUAAGGGCCGAGUUUGAGUUGGCUUGAGUCCCGAUUCAUCGUUGUUAUCCGACCUUUGCCAUGACAGGUGCGCUUGCAUGGCGGGUCACAGCAAACAUAAUAAAAAAGUGCUACGUUUUUUGUUGUGAUGGGGGAGAUCGCACGGGAGUUUGCCCGGGGUCUCCCCACCGCUUUGUGCCGUUGUCCUGUGCUGCCUUUUCUGCGUUCGUUUUUAUUUUAGCUCGCGACGCUCAUGAUUUCUUGCUUACCAGAUGAAAGAGAUAGCUGAGCUACGUCAGCAGCAUUACUUGCAAGUCCUCAUGGCUUUUGAGUGGGCUAUUUGGGGAGUUCUUCGAAUACUCUGACAGGUGUUUUCAUGGUAGGGGGUUUUUGGAUUUAUUCAUAUUCAAAAAAACUAUGGUUCCCCCCAAAUAAUAAAGCAAACAGUAUUGUAGUUGUAUGCUAUAUAGGGUUUAUUAUUUAAUGUCGAAUGCCUUAUCUUAAUAAAGGAAUCUUUGCAAUUUAAUGUUUUUUUUUUUUAUAAGUAAACAAUCGUAUUAAUAAAGGAUAGGCAAAGUCAAGUACACAAGAAGGUAUACAAAGGUUUAGGCCUAUCUAGGUCGUUACGGUGGAAACUGGAAAAUCCUGGAAAUUUAGACCAUUAAAGUCAACAGCUAGAGCCCAAAGAAUAAGGUACGGAAAAGUAAAGAUCUAAGCGCCGCUAGUUAAAUGCAUUUCAAUGACUACGAUUACACUGCACCAUCCGUCAUAUCUGAUAUCCCAAUUUUCUUCAUCACACCCUCCAUGGCGGCAACACCGUAAGUUCGUGAAAUAAAUUCAGAUACUAUGUUGCAAUUAGUCAGUCACCCAUAGGGCCAGCUUUUGUCAAUAGCUUGUUCACCUUUUUUAGUUGCUUUGAUUAGGAGCCUGUCUUGUGUUUAUGCAUGCUUACAGCUUAUGUUCUGUACUUUGUUUUGCUAAGCUUGUACAUUAUUAUUGUGUUUUGGAAUCGUAUAUGUAUUCUCUCCUCUGUCAUCCAUUGUACCAGCAAUUUAAGAAGACACAGAUGUAAUUGGGAGAAUUUGUGUGGUGGAUUUCUGCAACCCUUUGAGAUCUUCAAUCGUGUAUACCUGUAUUUAAAUCGUUUUGGGGAUUAGAUUUUCUUUUGCGGAGGUUGAAGACGUGGAAAAGGUGUCCAGCACCAUGAUUUUAUUGGCAACAAACAGUACUUGAAGGUUUGGUUCCUAAGAUAGCUUUGACUUCUCUGGUGCUUCUUAGUCGUAGCAGAUUCUUCAAAGUAGCUUUGUGCAUGAUAUGCAACAUCUGAGGUGAUGUUGCUAUGACUAUCGUUUGUUUCUGCUGUUAUAUGUAACUCGAUGAUGUAAAUGGACGUAUAAGACUUAGUUGGGACGAAAGGCCCGAGUUUGAGUGGGCUUGAGUCCUGAUUCAUCUUUGACAUCCGACCUUCGCCAUGACACAUGGUGGGUCACAACAACUAUAAUAAAAAAACUAUUUUUGGUUUGAUGGGGAGAGCACAUGGGAGUUUUCCUGGGGUCUCUCCCCACCGCUGUGUCCUAUUGUCCUGUGCCUGCUCUUUCUGUGUUAGUCUCUAUUUCAGCUCGCGAAGCCCAUGAUUUCUUACUUACCAGAAGAAAGGGAUAGCUGAGAUACAUCAACAACCUUACGACACUCGCAACUCCACGUGGCUUUUGAGGUAUGUAUACUCCAUCAAAUUUUCCUUUUUAUUUACAACAAUAUCUUGGCUAUUCAAUUCAUUCAACUAUAGAUUUUAGUAUUUAUAUUUUAUCUUACUUAUCAAAAAAGAAAUAAAGAAAAAGGUUUUAGAAGUUAUGUCUUAGAGAAAGAUAUUUACUUGGACAUACAAUAUUGGGAAAUCUAACCGUGGAAAAGCUAUUUUACUUGGACAAGGUGCUCCAUAAAUGGUCUCAAGAUACAAUUAACAAGUAUUAGCAUAUUAGUCAUGUUAUGACUUAUAAAAAAAAAGCAUAUUGGUCAUGUUAUGCCUUAGAAAUGAUCUUAGGUUGAAGAAUUUGAGAACCAUACAUUUUUUUAGUAAUUUUAAAGAUAGAAACGAUAAAAUAUUAAUUGUGUUUUAUUGGAAAUCGUUGGAAGUGGGCUAGUGUGGGAGUGCUUAAAAUCUUCUGACAUUGAAGGUUUUUUGGCAUUUUUCAUAUGUGAAAAGACUGGUUGCCCUCAAAUAAUACAGCACAAAGUAUUGUAGUUGUAUGUUAUAGGGUUUUUUAUUAGAUUCUGAAUGCCUCUAACUAAGAUAAGUGCAUUUCAAUGGCUGCAAUUACACUGCACUAUCAGUCAUCCGAUAUCACAAUUCAGUUCACUUGGCCCUCAAUGGCAGCAACACCUAUAAGUUCCUUGAAAGAAAUUCAUAUAGAAUGUUGCAAUUAGUCACCAUGAUCAGUCAUAUGGGGGUACAAUUACUUAGCUAAGAAGCAAUGCUAAGGUGACCAAAUUCGUGGGAUCAAAUUCGUAGGCCUUAAUGCUAGACUCACAGAAGAACAACUUUCAUGAAAGAAACUUUAUGAGAAGACACUUACAAGAUCGUUGAAUAAGGCGUGCAAAAGAGCUUAGAAAAGUUGUCUGAGAAUAUCUUUUGUGUUCUUUCAAAGAAAAGUGUAAAGGAGAUGAUUUGCGUGGGAAGUGGACUGGAGGUCUUCUUAUACAAGUUAUAAAAGAUGAUAAGACUGGAAUGAAACUUGAGUGUUGGUCUUUUUCUAUCCAAUACAAUCUAAAAUCAGUCCAAGAUAUUUUCUCUAGGUGGAGUGUAAAAAGGAAGGAGUGAGGUGGCCUUGUAACCCUUCUCUUCAAAUCUGAUCAGCCAUGUGGGUGCAAUUACUUAGCUAAAAAACAAUGCUAAGUUGGCUAAAUUCGGAUUAAGAUCUAUCCAUUAGCUUGAUAAAAAAUUUCAAAAUAUAACACUCUCCAGUUGAACUUUUGGAAAAGGAUUUUAUCCACCCUUGUUCUUCACUGUGGGGAGCACUUAUGCUAUUUGUGAAGAAGAAAGAUAGAUCUAUGAGGACAUGCAUAGACUAUAGAGAGUUGAACAAGUUGAUGAUUAAGAAUAAGUAUUCGUUAUCCAGGAUCGAUGAUUUGUUGGAUCAAUUGCAAGGAGCAACAGUGUUUCAAAGAUCGACUUGAGAUCCGGAUAUCAUUAGCUGAAAGUCAAGGAACAAGAUGUGCUGAAAAUUGCCUUUAGGACAAGGUACGGCCACUUCGAGUUUUUGGUGAUGCCUAUUGGGUAAACCAAUGCUCCAGCCACAUUCAUGGACUUGAUGAACAGAAUAUUCAAGCCCCAUCUGGAUGGUUUUGUUGUUGUUGUAUUCACAAAUGACAUCCUAAUUUACUCGAAGAGCGAGGAGGAACACAUAAAUCAUCUAAGUAUGGCCACCUUAGCAUUAAGCCCACGAAUUUGGCCACCUUAGUAUUGCUUCUUGACUAAGUAAUUGUACCUCCACAUGGCUAAUCAGAUUUGCUCAAGAGGACCUAGAGGGUACUUGAAGUGAUGGCUACAAGGUUAUUUCACUUUUUUCAUUCUACACUCCACCUAGAGGAAAUAUCUAGAAUUGAUUUUUGUAUAUUGUGUUGGGUAUAAAAGACCACUCAAGUUUCAUUCUAGCCUUACUAUAUUCUAUAAUUUGUGUAAGAAGCCCUACAACAUACUUUCCAUGAAAAUCAUCUAUUCUUUACACUUUUAUUUGAAAUAACACAAAAGACAUUUUCGGACAGUUAACACCUGAUUCAAAACUCUUGUAAGUGUCUUCUCACAAACCUUCACGAAAGUUGUUCCUUUGUGAGUCUAGUUUAUAUGGAUACCUUAUAAACAACCCCGUAAAGGUCAUUUUGGUAUAUAAAGUGGAGUGUUAUAUUUUGCAGUUUUUUAUCAAGCUAAUAGAUAGAUUUUGGUCCAAAAUUUUUAUGGAGUACUGUUAACUUGUGUAUAUAAUUAUUGGUUGAGGAUUUGUUGCAUGAUUAAAGGUUUUAAUGAUAGAUUUUUUUAUAUCUAGAAGCUCAGAAACUGGAAGAGGAAAAACAUUUUUUGUUUUAAGAAAGUUUGGAUCUUUUGUAAUUUAAACCUAUUCCAAUGACUGAUAUAAUUUUAUUGGAGGAUAUUAAGUCUCUUAUAUACAUAUUAGAAUAUUAGUUUGAAGAUAUUUGAUUUUCUAUUCAAAUAAGGUAUCCAUGUAAACUAAACUCACAAACGAACAAUUUCAUGAAGGAAAAUUUGUGAGAAAACACUUACAAGAGCUUUGAAUUAGGCGUGUAAAAGAAUUCAAAAAAGUUGUCCGAAUGUCUUUUGUGUUCUUUCAAAGAAAAGUGUAUUUGGGUGGGAAGUGGGCUGGAGGGUUUUUUAUUCAAGUUAUUGAAGAUGAUAAGGCUGAAAUGAAGCUUGAGUGUUGGUCUUUUCUAUCCAAUACUAAAAUCAGAUUAAGAUAUUUUCUCUAGAUGGAGUGUAGAAUUGAAAGAGUAAGGUGACCUUGUAGCCCUUCAUUUCAAGUACCCUUUAGCCAAGAAGCAAUGCUAAAGUGGUCAAAUUCGGAUCAAGAUUUAUCCAUUAGCUUGAUAAAAAACUCCAAAAUAUAACACUCCAGUUGAACUUUUGGAAAAGGAUUUUAUCCGCCUUCGUUGUGGGGAGCACGUGUGCUAUUUGUGAAGAAUGGGUCUAUGAGGAUGUGCAUUAGACUAUAGAGAGUUGGACAAGGUGACGAUUAAGAAGAAGUAUCCAUUACCCAGGAUAAACGAUUUGUUGGAUCAACUGCAAGGAUCAGUAGUGUUUUCAAAGAUUGACAUGAGAUCUGGGUAUCACUAGCUGAAAGUCAAGGAACAAGAUGUGCCGAAAACUGCCUUUAGGAUAAGGUAUGACCACUUUGAGUUUUUGGUAAUGUAUUUUGGGUUAACCAAUGCCCCAGCCGCAUUCAUGGACUUGAUGAACAGUAUAUUUAGGCCCUAUCUGGAUAGUUUUGUUGUUGUAGUCAUAGAUGGCAUUCUAAUUUACUCGAAGAGCAAGGAGAAACACAAAAAUCAUCUAAGUAUGGCCACCUUAGCAUUGCUCAAUCGCUAAGUAAUUGCACCCCUACAUGGUUGAUUAGAUUUGCUCAAGAGGGCCUGGUGGGUACCUGAAGUGAAGGUUACAACGCUACCUCACUCUUUCCAUUCUACACUUCACCUAGAGGAAAUAUUUUGAACUGAUUUUUGUAUAUUGUAUUGGGUAUAAAAGAUCAACACUCAACCUUUAUUUCAGUCUUAUCUUUCAUAACUUGUGUAAGAAGCCCUCUAGCCUACUUUCGCAAAUCAUCUCUUCUUUACAUUUUUUUGUAAAGAACACAAAAGACAUUAUCGGGCAGUUUUUCUAAACUAUUUUACACGUCUGAUUCAAAACUCUUGUAAGUGUCUUCUCACAAAGUUUAUUUCAUGAAAGUUGUUUCUUUGUCAGUCUAGUUUACAUGAAUAUCUUAUUUGUUCCAUUUGAAGAUCGUUUGUUCGGUCAAAUGUUGUUUAAACUCCAGAAAGGUCAUUCUGGGCGAUAAACAGAAGUGUUAUAUUUUAGAGUUUUUGACCAAAUUAAUGGAUAGAUCUUGGUUCGAAAUUUUUAUGGAGUACUCUUAACAUGUGUAUAUGAUUAUUGGUUGAGGAUUUGUUGCAUGAUUAAAGGUUUUGAUAAAAGAUUUUAUUAGAUCUAGAAACUUAGAAACUGGAAGAGGAAAAAUAGUUUUUGUUUUAAGAAAGUUUGGAUCUGUUGUCAUUUAAACCUAUUCCAAUGAUUUUGAUAAUUUUAUUGGAGGAUCCUAAGCUUCUUAUAUACAUGUUAGAAUAUUAGUUAGAAUAUAUUUGAUAUUAUAUUCAAAUAUAUGAAUUUUUAAGCAAAGAGAUAUUCAGAUAGGUCAAAGAAUUGAUGCCUUUAGCUAAAUUCAUGUUUUGGUUGAUUGUUAACAAUGUGAUCUUGAGUUUAAAGUUUAGUUUUGUUUUAGGACAUAUUUUUAAAUCAUGUGAUAUUUUAGUUUGAAGAUCAUAUUUUUAUAAGUCAUGGAUCAAAAGGUUGAGGCCAACAUUUAUCAGGAAUUUGGUACCGUUUUAGUUACCCUGAUUUGGAGCCUGUCAUGUAUUAUAUAUCCCUAAUAGCUAAGGCUCUGUACUUUGUUUUGCUAGGCCCAUACAUGAUUAUUUUGUUUGGAUCGUACAUGAUCUAUGUCAUCCAUCGUAUCUCAGCAAUGAGCAGCACUACACUUUUCGAAAAAAGCUCCCGAAUACACUUCUCGAACAGCACAUUUCAGUUUUUUAUUUAUUUUUUCUUUUUUUCUUAUAUUUUUUUAAUCAUCAUAAAUAUUUAAAAAAAAAAAAAAAUUCACAAUAUUAUUAAAAAACACUUUUUUAAUCAUUAUGGAAAAAAAAUCAUUUGGGACACUUUUUGAAUCCCGAAUUCGGGACGUUUAGCAUUUCUCCUCAGCAAUUUGAGAGGACACGACUAUGUAAUGGGCGGGACUUGUCUGGUGCAUUUCUGCAACCUUUUGAGAUCAUUAAUUUGUAUACCCGUAUUUAAAUCGUUUUGGUCGCAUAAAACUUGGAAAUGUGUCCAACGGCAUGAGGCCAUGGCGAAAGACGACUUAAGGUUCGAUUCUUAAUAUAGCUUUUGAGUUGCUACAGAUUUCUAUACUUUAGUGAUGGUUAUUUAUCUUCAACAGUCGCAUUGUAAGCCAUUAUGAUUACAAUUUAUUAUAUUCGCGAGCAAGGAUAAUUUGGUAGAAGAUUAUUUAUUAAUAAUCUUUGCAAUUUAAUUUGAUGGAAGACUAAGGAUUGAUUUGGAUAGUGAGUUAAGUUGAUAUUAGAGUUGGAUAAAAUAUUAUUAAAAUAUUAUUUUUGUUUUAAGAUUUGAAAAAGUUGAAUUGUUUAUUGUAUUUUGUUUAAAAGUUUAGAAAUAUUGUAAUGAUUAGAUGAGAUGAGUUGAAGAUAGUUUACUGUCCAAAUUAGGCCUAAUUUAUUCAGAGUUAUCAUGAAUCAUCAUGACAAUAAAUAGACAUUGAGCAAGUAGGCCCGGUAUGUUGAGCUAGUGGUCAUGCUUAUUUUUGGUGAAAGUAAAUAAACUCCACCUUUUAAUUUUGGCAAUGUCUGAAUAUGCUAUCAAUUAAUUGCUAUGUAUUCUCUAUUCCCUUUUUUGUCACUAAAAUGACAACUAGUCUUACACCUUAACAAAUAUGAAAUUAAGGUUGUUCAUUCAAGUCAUUUUUGUUUUUGUUUUUGUCUUUGUUUUUUUUCUUUUUGGGGAAUAUUGAUAACUGGAUUCUAGAUGCAACUUUCGGAUUGAAUAAAAUCUUGUCUGAAAAUCGCGUCACCCAACCCUGGAGAAAUUGAUAGCAAAUACAAAAGGAUCUUGGACAUAUAGUUGAUCUUGCUAAAAAGUUUUGGCUCGAUGUCUCCCACACCUCCAUGGUGUACUCCUCGUCUUUGUCUUCAACCAUCUCAUUCUCUUCAUGGUUUGGUGAGGGGGUGGCGGCUUCGAGGCUUCGUUACGGUGGCAAUGUCGUCCAUGGUCAACUCCACCAAAGAUCCCGAUUCAAGUGUUAUCCUACAUGCAUUAA